rnacentral:rRNA from 1 species
GUGAACGCUGGCGGUAGGCCUAACACAUGCAAGUCGAACGGCAGCACAGUAAGAGCUUGCUCUUACGGGUGGCGAGUGGCGGACGGGUGAGGAAUACAUCGGAAUCUACUUUUUCGUGGGGGAUAACGUAGGGAAACUUACGCUAAUACCGCAUACGACCUACGGGUGAAAGCAGGGGAUCUUCGGACCUUGCGCGAUUGAAUGAGCCGAUGUCGGAUUAGCUAGUUGGCGGGGUAAAGGCCCACCAAGGCGACGAUCCGUAGCUGGUCUGAGAGGAUGAUCAGCCACACUGGAACUGAGACACGGUCCAGUCUCCUACGGGAGGCAGCAGUGGGGAAUAUUGGACAAUGGGCGCAAGCCUGAUCCAGCCAUACCGCGUGGGUGAAGAAGGCCUUCGGGUUGUAAAGCCCUUUUGUUGGGAAAGAAAAGCAGCAGGUUAAUACCCCGCUGUUCUGACGGUACCCAAAGAAUAAGCACCGGCUAACUUCGUG